UGUUAUAAAAAAAGUCUAGGCGUGAACGAAACGAUUUUUUCAAACCAAUUUAUUAAAAAAUCUGUCUAGGGUUAAAAAAACAUUGGCCUAAAGGCCCCCGCCUAAACAAUAAUCUUCUAUAAGGUGCCAUGUAGGGAGAAGCUGGAGUUCUUGUGUAUGAAGAUGCCAUGUGAGCUUGUGCCAGCAAGGUAGCGGAGGAUUCUUUUGGCUGCGUUCCCAUGAUCUAUGGUGGGCUUGUGCAUGAACUGUGAGAGACGAGUAACAGCAAAAGAGAUAUCUGGUCUUGUGAAAGUAAGAUAUUGGAGACUUCCAACCACAGAUCUGUAUUCAGUUCCAUCACCAAGAAGAGUUCCGCCAUGCAGCGUCAGUUUUGGCGAGGUGGGUAGAGGCGUGGUUACAGGUUUAGCUUCAGACAUGUUGGUUCUGUGUAGGAGAUCUGUAAUAUAUUUCCGUUGCAUUAGAUGAAGACGAGUCGUUGUACGAGUUGCUUCAAUGCCAAGAAAAUACUGCAGAUCAGUCGGGUCUUUGAUCGAGAAGCGCUGAGAUUAUGUCGGAUUCAGGUAGCCACAAGAUGGAGACCUGACCGGGGAAGAACGCAUGAGUAGGUAACGUACUUGACACUGUCUAGAAGCACCACCACGAAGAUACGGGAAAGUGAUUUCGGGUUUGAGGGCAUGACUCUAUCGGUUUCAGGGUCAACGACCUCUCUUGGAUCAAGCAACACUGAGACAACCAUUGACGAGGAUGUGGGUUUGGUAUUAGCUUUCCCAUGAAAGCUCUUGUUUUGGGCGUCUUUGCUUGCCUGGGCUUCCGUGAUGUUAAGCUCAGAUGCCAAACGUGAAACCGGAAGCCCCUCGAGAAUCCUCCUGUUCUUCAUUCUCUUGUCUCGGGUGGUGGUGACAUUUUGGAGAUGCUCCCUUGUAAUGUUGGAGACUGAUGAUGGGACAAUAGCACCUGGAGAAAUAUCGAACUGGAAGACCUCGGUGCACAUGCUAUAAUCCAUUAGUGUCCCUACAAUAGAUGCAGUAAAAGGGUUAGCUCUAAUAUCAUUCCACUUAGUAAAAUCACAAGAAGAGCGCGAAAGUUACCUGCGCCACCUUCAUGAAACCACCGAUGAAGUCUCUUCCCAUCAGGCGAACCAGAAGAGAGAGCCUUGGAAGAAUGUGGAAGCAUUGCUCCAUUUCCUCUCACAUCAGGGACAGCUAAUGCAGAAGACGGAGCACCAGGAACCGUCAAAUCAGGUUCUUCGCUUUUUAUCGUCUCAGACACAUUCUUCUUAGCUUUCUCGUUAGCCAAAACAGAAUGAAUGAUCAAGUUCCCGUCGAUCUUCACAAGCCCAUCGUUCCUUGGAACGUAGAGAGAAGCAAAGAGAGGCUCACUGGCAUUACUCAGUCGUCCUUCUACUCCCCCACAACUAUCUCUAAUAGAACAGACACUUUCUCUUCUAACAUCAGACCCAUCACCAACCAUAAGAACCUUCCCUCUAUGCUCAUCAUAAUGCCUACGACCCUCAUACUUAGCCAAACCACGAUCUCCUCCAUUGUCAACAUUCAUAAACGGAACCAACAUACCAAACAAGAACAUAAAGAAGAGAAUCCCAAUAAAACUAACACUAGCAACCUUCUUGAGCUUGCUUCUCCCCUCUCCCUUCUUGGGUCUACUACAACUCGGGAGAGGCAAUUUAGGAACCAAUGGAAUCUGUGAUCCAUAAGGAUACGGCAUCCACUGAUAAGGUAAAGGCGGUGGAGCAAUGUAAGGAUUCAUAGGAGGAGGAGCCAUCAUCUGCUGCCUUAGCGCUGCAUUCUCAGCCAUCACAUACGAGAUCUUGCCGUUCAAUUCAGCAAUGGUGGAGUUCAUACUCUUGACUUUCCCUUGAAGCUCCUCAACGUAUUGCUUCUUCCUUAAUCUCGAAAGCUGAGCGCUCUCGCGGUUCCUAAUCAGCCUCGCCUUCUUCUUCUCAUCGUCCUCCUCCACAGGAGAAGCUGAUUUCUCAUCAGACUUUUGGUACUUGAAGCUCCUGUAUUCUCCUCCAGAGUCUCCCUUCUUCCUCUUGCUCUUCGAGCCUUGCGACGAGACCUGUGAAUGAACAAAAUCAGAUCCAUCUUCUAAACCUCUAUCCACGAUCUUUAUCUCCGGUAAAUCCAUAUUCGCAUGGGUCGCGAUCGAUUCUGUGAUUGCCACCGGGAGAUCCGCGUCGAGGUCGAAAUCGAAGAAAUCAACGGAAUCGUCGAACGAGAAAUCCAAAUCCGCCAAGUCUCCGUUCUCGUCGUCGAGGAGGAAGCUUAGAUCGGAAAUUACACCUACCAUUAUAGUAGAGCCGAGUUAGACAAAAUAUCCGUAAAUUUUUAUUUGAUUCGUUAUUUGUUUUAAUUUAACUGAAAACUCUAGAUAUCCGUAAUUCUACGAAGCAACCCAAUCCAAAUACUAAUAUGCAAUAUCCUUAAGAAACGAAACAAAUCACAAGUGUUAUAAAAAAAGUCUAGGCGUGAACGAAACGAUUUUUUCAAACCAAUUUAUUAAAAAAUCUGUCUAGGGUUAAAAAAACAUUGGCCUAAAGGCCCCCGCCUAAACAAUAAUCUUCUAUAAGGUGCCAUGUAGGGAGAAGCUGGAGUUCUUGUGUAUGAAGAUGCCAUGUGAGCUUGUGCCAGCAAGGUAGCGGAGGAUUCUUUUGGCUGCGUUCCCAUGAUCUAUGGUGGGCUUGUGCAUGAACUGUGAGAGACGAGUAACAGCAAAAGAGAUAUCUGGUCUUGUGAAAGUAAGAUAUUGGAGACUUCCAACCACAGAUCUGUAUUCAGUUCCAUC
rnacentral:lncRNA from 1 species